ensembl:snoRNA
UUACCAUCUUUCACUUUGCCAGUUACACUUAUGUCUUCAUUGGCCAUUCAAGUGGGACAAAGGAUUUAAAACACAGGCAGACUUGGUGUUUGUCUUGUAAACUGUCAGGGGAAACAUUG